rnacentral:rRNA from 1 species
AGGAAUAUUGGGCAAUGCCCGCAAGGGUGACCCAGCAACGCCGCGUGGAGGAUGAAUGUCGUAAGAUUGUAAACUCCUGUUGGAGGGGAAGAAUAGUACCGGUUGGACCGGUAUAUGACUGUACCCUCAGAGAAAGCCCCGGCUAACUACGUGCCAGCAGCCGCGGUAAUACGUAGGGGGCAAGCGUUGUCCGGAUUUACUGGGUGUAAAGGGCGCGCAGGCGGGAUAAAAAGUCAGUGGUGAAACCCUACAGCUUAACUGUAGAACUGCUUUUGAUACUUUUAUUCUUGAGUUCGGGAGAGAGAGACGGAAUUCCAGGUGUAGUGGUGAAAUACGUAGAUAUCUGGAAGAACACCAGUUGCGAAGGCGGUCUCUUGGUCCGACACUGACGCUGAGGCGCGAAAGCGUGGGGAGCAAACA